CACAUGCAAGUCGAGGGGCAGCAUGGUCUUAGCUUGCUAAGGCCGAUGGCGACCGGCGCACGGGUGAGUAACACGUAUCCAACCUGCCGUCUACUCUUGGACAGCCUUCUGAAAGGAAGAUUAAUACAAGAUGGCAUCAUGAGUCCGCAUGUUCACAUGAUUAAAGGUAUUCCGGUAGACGAUGGGGAUGCGUUCCAUUAGAUAGUAGGCGGGGUAACGGCCCACCUAGUCUUCGAUGGAUAGGGGUUCUGAGAGGAAGGUCCCCCACAUUGGAACUGAGACACGGUCCAAACUCCUACGGGAGGCAGCAGUGAGGAAUAUUGGUCAAUGGGCGAGAGCCUGAACCAGCCAAGUAGCGUGAAGGAUGACUGCCCUAUGGGUUGUAAACUUCUUUUAUAAAGGAAUAAAGUCGGGUAUGCAUACCCGUUUGCAUGUACUUUAUGAAUAAGGAUCGGCUAACUCCGUGCCAGCAGCCGCGGUAAUACGGAGGAUCCGAGCGUUAUCCGGAUUUAUUGGGUUUAAAGGGAGCGUAGAUGGAUGUUUAAGUCAGUUGUGAAAGUUUGCGGCUCAACCGUAAAAUUGCAGUUGAUACUGGAUAUCUUGAGUGCAGUUGAGGCAGGCGGAAUUCGUGGUGUAGCGGUGAAAUGCUUAGAUAUCACGAAGAACUCCGAUUGCGAAGGCAGCCUGCUAAGCUGCAACUGACAUUGAGGCUCGAAAGUGUGGGUAUCAAACAGGAUUAGAUACCCUGGUAGUCCACACGGUAAACGAUGAAUACUCGCUGUUUGCGAUAUACGGCAAGCGGCCAAGCGAAAGCGUUAAGUAUUCCACCUGGGGAGUACGCCGGCAACGGUGAAACUCAGAGGAAUUGACGGGGGCCCGCACAAGCGGAGGAACAUGUGGUUUAAUUCGAUGAUACGCGAGGAACCUUACCCGGGCUUAAAU
rnacentral:rRNA from 1 species